UGUGGUUCGGCGUAGGUUAUCUGCUAACAAAACUUUUAUAUACCAGGAUCUUGUUUCUAUUUUACGUCGCGGAUGAAUUUUGCCAUAAACAAGGAUGAUGAACGAUAGCGGUAUCGCUCGUUAUGUAUUUUUAUGUGUGAAAAGAGACGUCUCCCAUUUUUAACAAAGCAAUUUGUAUUUUCGGAAUAAUUCGUACGCUGUAGACGCUGAUUCACAAUGCAAGAAUGGAGGUAGACAAGCCCUAACGUUAGGAAAAUACACACGUAAUCCAUGUUCAUGGUACAUUUUGUAGAUUGGCUCUCUUCUGCGUUCUACGACAGUGGUCAACUACAAGGGAUUUUCGAUCUUCCAUGUCCAUGUUUAUUCUGUAUAUUUAGUCACUAUUGCGUCAUAUUGUUUUUAGCCAGUGUUUAGGCAUAUGCUCGGCCUUGAAGCAGGGAGGGAUCUUUAUCGUGCCACACCUGCUGUGACACGGCGCCUCGGUUUUUGCGGUCUUAUCCAAAUGACCGUCCCAUUUAGUCGCCUGUCACAAGUAAGGGGUACUGAAGACCUAUUCUAACCCGAAUCAUGAAAGUGUAUCGCUGAUUCUAUGCAAAUACAGAUUUAAGGACAUUUUUAUAGAUGAGAGUUUCUUGUUCUCUUUACGGUAAAAGUAACCUGCAAAGGGCUAGUUGUAUUCGGCGCGUCCGCGCGUCAAUCGGGGCCAAUGUAUAGGGCUGCACAGUGUUCGGCGAGACUUCGCGAGAUUUCGUUUCUGGAGAUAAACAAUUAUGUCGAGUGUCACACGAUACUUAGUGCGAUGACGUUUUCGAUCUUUUACUGGGGAUAUUACAUAUUUGGAACAAAAUUUUUAGUAUCAAAUCUUGAAUAACUGUUCAUUAAGAUCUGUUGCUACAUGUAAGAUUACUUACGUAAAAGAGAUGUACUAUGUCUGUGGUGAAACACGAAGCUCAAGGUUCCAUGCGAGACUGAAGCUACAGUCAGCUGUUACGGUAUGUUAAAUUUUAGUCCUUUGAGAGGUAGAAUAUAGAUUUUAAUUAACAAGAAACUAAUUUUUGAUUUCCAAUUAUUCUAAAAGCUAUGUGAUGAAGUUUUAAAGGUAAGAAAAACCAUACACCACCACUACCACCACCCCUCACACAAAUUUCAACAUGAAUUAAAAUUAUCCGCGGCUAGCAGUUUACCGUUGUUGUCAAACCCUGAGUAUGCAUAUCAGUAUUCAGUUUCUCCUAAAGAAAACUACUAUAAGGGUGACUGACUGCAACUAACUUAAUUUAUGUGUUUAGAUCAAAAUUGGUAACAUCAAUAAUCAUUGAAAACAUAGCACAAUCCAUAAAACUUUGUGAAUGGGUAUGAGAAAGAACAAAUCACUACCCAGCUGGCAUUAUUCUCUAUAGUUUUUGUAUUUACACAAAGAAUAGAUAAGUGAUAGCAAAUAUCAGUAAAAUAUAAUUGAAGAGAGCUCUUUAAAUCAAAUAAUUAAAGGGGAAAAUGUAUAUAUAUUAUGUAUUUGUAUUAUAAAACUGUCUUGAUCCCAGUACAUUUUCUAGAUCUUUGUUUAUGAAAGUUUAUCAAAUGAAGACAAACUAGUGAUUUAUUUUAGUGAGAGUCUUCAUAUGUUAUAUUCAUAUUAAGCAAUAAAAUCAUGAUCAUAUUUGAAAACCUCAGCUCAUAAUUAUAUAACUAAAUUCUACUUUUCAAAAUGUAUUCAUUUCAAUUAUUAGAUGUAGGAAUGUCUUGAAAAUAGAUGUCGGACAAUCACCGAUGUACGAUCUUAAGUCUGUACCACCCCAGACUCAACAAACCAAAAAAAGAUGGGCUCUAUUCCUUGCACUGUGCAAAUAACAGAACUGUCAACAACAGGUAAUCACAUUUUGAUGGGUUACUGCUAUGCUUGACAUGUAAGAAGGUAUCUUACUUGUUUUAAUUUUGAAGCACAGGUACAUGAGAUGAAGAACACUACUGUAGUAGAACUGCAGCCACAGUUCUAUAUCUACAUGUAGGUACUAUACAUAAAGUUGAUCAAUCUAUUAAUAGUUAGUUCUCUACUUGUGAGGGAUGUGGAACACAUAGUAUCAAUGUUAUCAUCAUUUGUGAUACUAUAACCAUGAAUACUUGUAACUUUGUCUCAAACUAAUAACUAAAGGUUACCAAGUAGACUAGUUGAUACUAUAAAAAUGAAUUACCAGUGAUGAACAUAACCAUGUUAAUCCAUUUGAAUAUUUUUGCCAUAUUAAACUACAUGUACUUCCAUUAACACUUUGAUUUCGAAGUAGUGCAUGUGACUUUCGAAAGAAAUAUAAUACCGGUAAUAUGUUUUAAUAAACGUCAAUAUAUAUCAUAAGUUUUGGUUUCUUAUAAACGAGUGCUUCAUAUUUAUGUCAGCAGUUUAUAAGAUUAUUCUCUUUCAAUCUUCAACAACAAUAAUGCAUUGGAAACUGGUUCCGGACCACCUGUAGCCAAAGAUUUGGUGUGUCUACUGUGAAGGACCUGAUUUCAAGCCAUGACUCUCUAUCUACACGGAUACCUUAAGGUGCAUAGCGAUACCAUGUCGGCGCUCGUUCAACAAUCAACGGCAGUCCUUUCUUUCUUGGCUUAGUCCCGUGUGGAUCCAGAUUACAAUAGGUCCUCAGUACCCCUUGCUUGUCGAAAGAGGCGCAACUGAAUGGUGAGGUCCUUCGGAUGAGACCACAAAAACCGAGGCCCCGUGUCAGAGCAGGUGUGGCACAAUAAAAAUCCCUCCCUGCUCAAAGGCAUACGCACCGAUCAUGAACCUAAUUUCACAGCCCUUCACCGGGUAUGGUCACGUCUACAUAUGUGUGAAAGAUUCUCGAAUUGGACCCAUUGGGUGGAAUACCUGUCAGUUACCUUUAGGUGCUCCCCAGAGAUCUGGUUUGGAACCCAAAGUAUUUUCGCAAGACCCACAGGAACAAUAUUCCAUGGCCAUGAUAUUAAGUGAAAGGAGAAAAUAUCAAACAGUGAUCAACCCCACAACUCCUAAAAGCAAUACAAAAUAGAGAGUUGGGUAAUCACGGACCCCUGGACACACCAGAGGCGGGACCAUGAGCCCAGGAGGAGCAAGCAUCCCCUGUCGACCGGUCACACCCGCCGUUAGCCCUACAUCUUGAUCAGGGAAACGGAGUUAUCCGUAGUCAAAAUUAGUGUGCCAAGAAAGGCCUAACAAUCGAUAUGAAACAGGUCAGACAGUAUGUGACCCAAUGAUAGGUUGUAUUGGUAAACCACAUGUAGAUCGUUAUACCAACCAUAGAAUUCGGUAAAUGCUUACUUUAAACGAGACUGUUGAAACCCCUGCACCGUCAAUGUGUUUGUCAGUAGCCUGUCUCGAUAUAAAGAUCGAUCAUACACAGAACAAGCUCUUGCGUAUCGUACCAGUUGAGAGAUAUAAACACUAUAUGCAGGUGAUAAUGGAAUAUUGCUACAUAAAUAUGGGAGAUGGAGAAGCUGAAAUCAUCCCGUUUAUCAUUAAGUUGAGUAGUUAGUUUGCCGUUAAUAUUUAUUUUUGAUAAAAUAUCUAAGUAUGAAGCAGACGUGGACAACUUUGUAGUGUCUUUUAUUUCGAGUUCAUAGUGACAUAUCGAAUCGACAUAUGAAUGAAAAUUAUUAUUGUUAAAGAAAGGUGAAGAUAACGAACAGUGAUCAAUUUCGUAACUCCUAUAAGCAAUACAAAAUAGAUAGUUGGGCAAACACGGACCCCUGGAAACACCAGAGGUGGGAUCAGGUGCCUAGGAGGAGUAGGCAUCCCCUGUCGACAGAUCACACCUGCCGUGAGCACGUCGUCGAUAUAUCUAAAUGUUGAAUUGAAUCAGGUCAGCUAACGAAGGAACACAGUUCGUGCCCAUGUGAAUUCCAACAGAUUGUUGGAAGACCUGAUCACCAAAGACUACGAAGAUAUUGUCAAUGAGGAACUGCAGCAUAUUCUUUAUUUCAACUUCAGAGUACUUGGGCGUGGAAUCAGAGUGGUGUUUAAGAAAGUAAAAACAUUGUCGAUCCCACAAAAUUGUUUGCACACAUUCAAUACUUUUCUCAGAAUAUGAAAAAAAUAAGAAAUAACAUUUUAACUAGUUGCCAUAAGAAAAACUCUUUAAAAAUGAUUACUUCAUGAUUUGGGAUCAUUGGAAAUGUGCUGUGUUUUGGGAUCGAGAUGUCAACACUCGCCCUAUAUGUCAUAGAAUUACCAUUGAACAUCUCAAUCCAAAUAGUGCAGAGAAAAUGCGAAAUAAUCUUGCUAAGGAUAUAUAUGCUCAAUGUUUUAUUUAUUGGAAGCACAUCAAGCAACCCUGAGUAGUGGCGAACAUCUUAAUGCCUCCAUACAGAUGUUAUAACAAACAAGCAAAAUUAUCUCUGUUUUAGGACAGUCGACCUCUUACCUCUAUGGAAGAUUCUAAAUAUAUUAAAAUCUGGUUUCAGGAAUGAAAAUUUCACAACUGAAAGCAAGUGGAAUCAACACAACUAAAGUUCUUAUAUCUCAGAAAUGCUUAGAAGAUAUUGAGAGCAUGUUACUUACUUUUAAAAACAAUCUACAGAAUUCAUCUCCAUCGAUUUCCACAUAACUAUAUUGUACCAUCAAGAAUCAAUAUAUAUGUUGUGGAAAAUAUCUUCUGCCAGCAACGUGGUUUGUACGAUGGUAGCUCUACAAACCCAACUUAAAAUACAUACAGCCCAAUACAUAAUGUGUAACAAUGAGAUAUUGACUUGCUCAUUAACUUACCCGGUAGAAGUCCUAAGAUUUUAAAGACAAGGCACUGAAAGUUUGUGAGUAAAUAUCAUUCAGUCAAAAAUAAACUAGUAUUAAUUAUAACAGGUGGGUAAAUAUGCUACCGUUUCUGAGAAACUUCCGGAUAGAAUAUGCUAAAAACACAGACAUUUGGCUAUAGUUGCCGAUCGGAAGCAAAUUUGUAAAACAGAUAAACUUCUCUAGACAUUUUCAAUACCCAUUACAUGUAUCUCUGAGUGUAAGUUUCAAGAAAAUCCAUUGCACCACCUUUGAGAAAUUCUGCCGAAAAAAAGGGGGGGAUUAAGAAAAACAGUAGAAUCAUUGUAAGACUCUUAAGUUGAAAAUGGAAGACCAAACACUGCCAAGGCCUCACUUUCGAUGGGAGCAUACCUGCUUUCAGCUGGGUGUGUAAACCUGCUUCCAACUAAGCAUAGCUUCCAGCCAUCAUUGAAUCUCUCUGUCUUCAGACUGAUAAUGAAAGGCGAAGAUAACGAACAGUGAUCUAUAUUGUAUUGUUUGUGGGAGUUGUGAGAUUGAUCGCUGUUCGUUAUCUUCACCUUUCAAUAGUGGCGGACUUUUAAACCUUAGGAACAAAAAGGGAUUUCAUGUAUAUUGAAGUCUUUAAGAGCUAACAGUAUUUAAAGCAAUAUGAGCUGUAACUGACGGCAUUUUUUCAACUAUCCAAUUAUGCAUCAAUUAACUCCUAUCGGCAUAACUGAUAUAAUCACCAAGAUCUGAAGAAACAUUCAGCAAAAUAAAGAAGGGAAUAUUGUUUGAGAGCAUACCUACAAUGAGCAUUUCGUAUAAACCGCCAUUGCGUCGUAUACGCAGACAUGAGAACGAUGGUUGCCGAACAUAAUCGGGUUACUGAGACCGAUGUCAUAUAUAAAGAUGGAAACUGACGUGAAUAACUACACGUUUCGUUUGUUCAAAAUAUUCCAUCGUUUCAUGAAUGACAAGAAGUACUACAAGUGUAAGAAAGUAAUAAUUACGCAAAUGUGCAACUGAAAUGAAAUUUUGGUAGUGAUUUUCUAUACAAUUGGCAUGUUAAAUUGUUUACAAAUCUAACACGUGCUCAGUGCCUCCCUUUCGCUUUUUUCCGAACUGGUGACCUCUGAGGCCUAUGCACAUCGGAGAUUACGAGCAGGAAUUACUGACAGGAUGACAAUGAUUCAUGAAUCGACAAUUUCUGCUGAUCUGACGGGUUUAUUGCUUCAGAUUCACUCUGAUUCCAUUAAGUUGUAUGUAUUUAAUCACAAAUGUUAAAUAUUUGUUCUUUUAAUUUUCAAUUUAUUUACCGUCAGUUACAGCUUGUAUUGCUUUAAUGAACAACACUUUAGUUCUAAUACCUAAGGUAUAGUAAGUAAACACUUAAAGAAUGGGAGAUGGUGAUCGACUAGUGCGAAAUACCAAAUUAGAAUGGGGGUAUGACUCUUCUUUGCAACAUUCAAAGUACCAAAUCUGGCUGUGACGCAUGGCUGCCUAUGUUAUUUCCAUUCUUACACGUGACCAGGCAUUUGAAUGUAUGUGGAAUAUGACUGUUAACUUGAAAAUUGGCAUAUAUAACAACAUCCCCAAUGAUAACUGUAGAACUUCAAGUGCGAAAUAUAUUUAAGAGAGAGCUGAACACACGAGGAGCUAACAAAUCUUUUCAUUCGGCUAACACCAUAUGUAUGACAAACCAGGUUAUUGAUAGCAUGAAAGAACAAUUCAUGUACACAACCAAAUCAAGACAAAUCUAAAGACUAAAUCCAUAAGGAGUAAAGGACCAGUGAGGAGUAUCUGCUGGGAUAGUUUUUCGAACUUCGCCAAACGGAUGUGCCAAAACUGCAUGAAUGGAUAAAUGAACGGAAAGAGAUUGCUGAAGUGUAUAUGUAAAACUUACACUUUCCUGUUUGGUCAUGUGACAUGUCUCAGGUUAAGUAGAUUGCAUAUUUAUUAGGUGCAUAUAUUAUACAGUGGAAUACGCCGGUUUCGAGAUACGUCUUAUUUAUUUCUAUUUAGAGAACUUUCGUACAUUGUAAGGUGCAAAUCUUUUUACAUGCGGGAUUGGUACUGACAAAUAAGUUGAUGGUACAGGGGUUUCAACAGUCUCGUUUAAAGUAAGCAUUUACCGAAUUGUAUGGUUGGUAUAACGAUCUAGUUCGUCAAUACAACCUCGCAUUGGGUCAAAUGCUGUCUGACGUGUUUCAUACCGAUUGUUAAGCCGUUCUUGGCACACUGAUUUUGACUGCGAAUAACUCCGUUUACCUGAUCAUGAUAUAGGGGUCACGGCGGGUGUGACCGGUCAACAGGGGAUGAUUACCCCUCCUAGGCACCCGAUCCCACCUCUGGUGUGUCCAGGGGUCCGUGUUUGCCCAACUCUCUAUUUUGUAUUGCUUAUAGGAGUUAUGAGAUUGAUCACUGUUCGUUAUCUUCACCUUGCAUAAGUGAAUGUGCUCAGUAAGCUUCUGAUACGAAGUUUUAUCACCCGAAUUUGAUCGAUACACAAACUUAGUAAGUGAUAAGUAAUUAAAGGGAGUAAUUAAAUACAUGGAGUUCUUCUUAUAUCAAGUUAUUUCGUUACUCAUGCGUAUCAUAUCCAGGAUAUUACUUGUAAAUACGAUAUUGUAUUUAUGUUUCCACUUUAAUAAAACAUAACAUUUCUUUAGAUAGUAUUUUGAAUUGCCUACAUUUAAAUAUUCAAGAGAAACCGUUUAAAUUUGUUUUUCAUCUUCCUCACUGACUGUAGGUCCACUGUCCGACUUUGGACUGCCGCGGUGGUCUAGAUUGUUUGAUUGAUUGUUUUGAUGUUUUUCGCCACACUCAUGAAUUUUUCAGUUAUAUGGUGGCGCCCAGUUUUUCAUUGGUAGAAGAGAGAACCCAGAUACAAUGUACCUGGGAGGAGACCACCGACCUUCUGAAAGUAAACUGGAAAACUUUCUCAAUUAUCGGCGCGAGAAGGAUUCAAACUCGCGCCGACCAGAAGUGAGAGGUCGUGUGAUUUUGAGCGCGAUGCUCUAACCACUCGGUCACGGAGGCAUUCUCUCACCAGACGGCGCGUUACGCAAGCCUAUGCUCGGCGCUUACGGCCUUUGAGCAGGGAGGGUUGAUUGAUUGAUUGAGGUUUUACGCCGUUUUAGCAAUAUUACAGCCAUUUUACGGCGGUUAACUAAUUGAAUGAUGUUUGGUUGUGAGUGUUUGAGUUUCCCUGACGGCCCCCAGUGAGCCUACUCUAUUUCGAACAUCAAGGAAACGAUCUUUUGCGUGCCAAGGAGGUUGUGAUCCUUGACACGGAACACCCUUUAACGUCCCAUCCGACGGACAUAAAAGUUAAAAAUAUAUAAACAGGUUAAAAAACAAUCAAUUCGUGUAUAUAAACAGUUGUAUUAUAAAAGUUUUCAAAUUUUUCUGUAAAAGUCGCAUUCUUGUAAAUAUUGUAUAAUAUAAUGAUAGUCGAUAUUUGUAAAAAGUUCUUUCAUUGAUUGUACACUAUUAAACAGUCUAUUUCGUAUAUAUGGGCGUAAAAUCACUACAUUCUAAAAGAAUGUGAUGUAUAGUUAAUGGACAGUCACAAGAUAUGCAUUCAGGCUGAGGUUCUCUGUUGAGUAGGUACGGAUGUGUCAAUUUUGAAUGUCCGAUGCGUAUUCGUAAAAUAAUCACUUCGUCUUGGCGUUUCAUUACGAUGUUACACGAUUUGUUUACUUUGUUUUGAACAGAUUAAAGUUUACUUAUGUCACAAAAAUCCCAAUAGAUUUGCCUAAGAGAAUUAACAUAUAGUUUUAUGAAAUAUUUAAAAUCAGUGUAUGGAAUUUUGAAGUGUACUUUUGGCCGCUUUGGUGUUGCCAUGGAUAUCAAUGUGACUUGGGACCCAGCAGAACUCAGCUAUUUUACCUUGUUUAGUUAAAAGAUAGUACCGGUGUAAGAUAUCUAAAAUAUAUGGAUGAUCAAUAUUCAUGUUGUUUAUUGACUGAAGGCAUGAUAGAGAGUCUGACAAUAUAGUAAAAUGUUUGUCAUUAAAAGUUUUUAUGUAUUCAAACUCAAGCUGAAUAGCCUUUGCUUCGGCGGUAUAAAUUGUUGCUUCAUUUGGAAGUCGUGCAGAGAAAACGUCGUUUGAGAUUACUGCAGUAGCAGCGACUUUAUUUUGAUCUUUUGAACUAUCUGUAUAGAUAUCAGUUGUAGUAUGUUUGGAUUGUUU